rnacentral:rRNA from 1 species
CCCUUAGAUGUCCUGGGCCGCACGCGCGUUACACUGAUGCAUUCAACGAGCUUAUAACCUUGGCCGAGAGGCCUGGGCUAUCUUGUUAACGUGCAUCGUGAUAGGGAUAGAUUAUUGAAAUUAUUAAUCUUGAACGAGGAAUUCCUAGUAAACGCAGAUCAUCAAUCUGCAUUGAUUACGUCCCUGCCCUUUGUACACACCGCCCGUCGCACCUACCGAUUGGAUGGUCCGGUGAAGCCUCGGGAUUGUGGUUCUUGCCGCUUUAUUGUGGCGUGACCGCGAGAACUUGUCUAAACCUUAUCAUCUAGAGGAAGGUGAAGUCGUAACA